rnacentral:lncRNA from 1 species
GAUUCCUAGGAAGCCAUGGAGGAUGGAACAAACUUAGAGCUGGAGCCUGAAGAGUUCUUGGAACUUGUGUAUGGGAAGUUAUCCUGACUGUGGUCAGCUGAUCUGCGGUGACUGGUCAGCCCACCAAGAAGGUACCUCAGCACGCAGGGGAAUUCCUGGCAGGUGGGCUUGUCCAGGGCUGUGUGCUUCAGAGGUACCAUUGGUGCGUGCACAUAAACAAGGCAGUUCAUAUCUUACAUGUGUGCACUGCUGUAACAACCGGAGAGAGGAGCAGAUGUAUAGAGCUGAAAUAGGUAAAUAUAAAACUAUUUCAGAGAGUAUUGAUUUCUUUUCCUCAUUUUUUUCAUCUACUUAA